AUGAACGCUGGCGGCAUGCCUAAUACAUGCAAGUCGAGCGAACAGACGAGGAGCUUGCUCCUCUGACGUUAGCGGCGGACGGGUGAGUAACACGUGGAUAACCUACCUAUAAGACUGGGAUAACUUCGGGAAACCGGAGCUAAUACCGGAUAAUAUAUUGAACCGCAUGGUUCAAUAGUGAAAGACGGUUUUGCUGUCACUUAUAGAUGGAUCCGCGCCGCAUUAGCUAGUUGGUAAGGUAACGGCUUACCAAGGCAACGAUGCGUAGCCGACCUGAGAGGGUGAUCGGCCGCACUGGAACUGAGACCCGGUCCAGACUCCUACGGGAGGCAGCAGUAGGGAAUCUUCCGGAAUGGGCGAAAGCCUGACGGAGCAACGCCGCGUGAGUGAUGAAGGUCUUCGGAUCGUAAAACUCUGUUAUUAGGGAAGAACAAAUGUGUAAGUAACUAUGCACGUCUUGACGGUACCUAAUCAGAAAGCCACGGCUAACUACGUG
rnacentral:rRNA from 1 species